rnacentral:rRNA from 1 species
UACGUAGGGGGCAAGCGUUGUCCGGAAUCAUUGGGCGUAAAGAGCGUGUAGGCGGCCAGGUAAGUCCGCUGUGAAAUCCCGAGGCUCAACUUCGAGCUGUCGGUGGAAACUGUCUGGCUAGAGUCCGGAAGAGGAGAAUGGAAUUCCUGGUGUAGCGGUGAAAUGCGCAGAUAUCAGGAAGAACACCCGUGGCGAAGGCGGUUCUCUGGGACGGUACUGACGCUGAGACGCGAAAGCGUGGGGAGCGAACAGG